UGGGGAAUAUUGCACAAUGGGCGCAAGCCUGAUGCAGCCAUGCCGCGUGUAUGAAGAAGGCCUUCGGGUUGUAAAGUACUUUCAGCGAGGAGGAAGGCAUUAAGGUUAAUAACCUUGGUGAUUGACGUUACUCGCAGAAGAAGCACCGGCUAACUCCGUGCCAGCAGCCGCGGUAAUACGGAGGGUGCAAGCGUUAAUCGGAAUUACUGGGCGUAAAGCGCACGCAGGCGGUUUGUCAAGUCGGAUGUGAAAUCCCCGGUCUCAACCUGGGAACUGCAUUCGAAACUGGCAGGCUAGAGUCUUGUAGAGGGGGGUAGAAUUCCAGGUGUAGCGGUGAAAUGCGUAGAGAUCUGGAGGAAUACCGGUGGCGAAGGCGGCCCCCUGGACAAAGACUGACGCUCAGGUGCGAAAGCGUGGGGAGCAAACA
rnacentral:rRNA from 1 species